UGGGGAAUCUUGCACAAUGGGCGAAAGCCUGAUGCAGCGACGCCGCGUGCGGGAUGAAGGCCUUCGGGUUGUAAACCGCUUUCAGCAGGGACGAGGCCGCAAGGUGACGGUACCUGCAGAAGAAGCCCCGGCUAACUACGUGCCAGCAGCCGCGGUAAUACGUAGGGGGCAAGCGUUAUCCGGAUUCAUUGGGCGUAAAGCGCGCGUAGGCGGUUUGUUAGGUCAGGAGUUAAAUCUGGGGGCUCAACCCCUAUCCGCUCCUGAUACCGGCAGGCUUGAGUCUGGUAGGGGAAGGCGGAAUUCCAAGUGUAGCGGUGAAAUGCGCAGAUAUUUGGAAGAACACCGGUGGAGAAGGCGGCCUUCUGGGCCACGACUGACGCUGAGGCGCGAAAGCUAGGGGAGCGAACAGG
rnacentral:rRNA from 1 species